CCCAAAUUUAUAAAGAUUUGCUUACUGGAUUUGUUGUAAGAUUAAAUCAUGCCUCCUCCUCUCUCUCUCUCCCAUGUGCUGCUCUGUAGGCUGGGAGGAAGUGAAGAGUAAUCACAAUCUCCCAACACAGCGGCACCUGUGGCUGCAUGGGGAACAGCUGUAUUUGCCGCCCCCCCAUGUGACAUCACAAUGCCCCACCUAUAUGAGCUGCCAUACGAACUAACGCCAGUGCUGCCACAGUGUAUGUUUACAUUAAAAAGCCUGCAGGGACUGGCUAUAGACACCAGAACCACUUCAUUAAGCUGCACUCGUUCUGGGGACUAUAGUGUCCCUUUAAUGUGAGGUAAAUUAUAG